rnacentral:rRNA from 1 species
GACGAACGCUGGCGGCGUGCUUAACACAUGCAAGUCGAGCGGUAAGGCCCUUUCGGGGGUACACGAGCGGCGAACGGGUGAGUAACACGUGGGUGACCUGCCCUCAGCUCUGGGAUAAGCCUGGGAAACCGGGUCUAAUACUGGAUAUGACUCCAUGACGCAUGUUGUGGGGUGGAAAGCCUUGUGCGGCUGAGGAUGGGCCCGCGGCCUAUCAGCUUGUUU